rnacentral:rRNA from 1 species
CCUACGGGCGGCAGCAGUGGGGGAUAUUGGACAAUGGGGGAAACCCUGAUCCAGCGACGCCGCGUGAGUGAAGAAGUAUUUCGGUAUGUAAAGCUCUGUCAGCAGGGAAGAAAGAAAUGACGGUACCUGACCAAGAAGCCUCGGCUAACUACAGGCCAGCAGCCGCGGUAAUCCGUAGGGGGCAGGCGUUAUCCGGAAUUACGGGGUGUAAAGGGAGCUUAGACGGUGAUGCAAGUCGGGAGGGAAAGGCGGGGGCCCAACCCCCGGACUGCUGUGGAAACUGUGUAACUUGAGUGCAGGAGAGGUAAGCGGAAUUCGUGGUGUAGCGGUGAAAUGCGUAGAUAUUAGGAGGAACACCAGUGGUGAAGGCGGCUUACUGGACUGCAACUGACGUUGAGGCUCGAAAGCGUGGGGAGCAAACAGGAUUAGAUACCCCUGUAGUC